GAUGAACGCUGGCGGCGUGCCUAAUACAUGCAAGUCGAGCGAACAGACGAGGAGCUUGCUCCUCUGACGUUAGCGGCGGACGGGUGAGUAACACGUGGAUAACCUACCUAUAAGACUGGGAUAACUUCGGGAAACCGGAGCUAAUACCGGAUAAUAUAUUGAACCGCAUGGUUCAAUAGUGAAAGACGGUUUUGCUGUCACUUAUAGAUGGAUCCGCGCCGCAUUAGCUAGUUGGGAAGGUAACGGCUUACCAAGGCGACGAUGCGUAGCCGACCUGUGAGGGUGGUCGGCCACCUGGGAACGUAGACAGGGACCAUAGUCCUACGGGAGGGAGCAGUAGGGAAUCGUACGCAAUGGGCGAAAGCCUGACGGAGCAACGGCGCGUGAGUGAUGAAGGUCUUCGGAUCGUAAAACUCUGUUAUUAGGGAAGAACAAAUGUGUAAGUAACUAUGCACGUCUUGACGGUACCUAAUCAGAAAGCCACGGCUAACUACGUG
rnacentral:rRNA from 1 species